AGAAGGAUGGAUGAGGAGGAGGUCCACCAGGAGAGUACAAAGAAGGUGAAGAUGAAGAUGAUGGAGGUUCAGAUUUGGGGGAGGGUGAAGAGGAGGAAGAAGUUGGCCUUUCAUACCUGAUGACGGACGAGAUCCAGAAUUAGUGGCAUUCUGUACCAGAUCACCAAGUCAGAUUUUGAGGAGAACGUGGCUGAAAGAAACCCACCUGCCCUACCAGGAUGCUCACAAGUGCCUGGAGAGCUUUGGCCUUGACAGCCAUGCCCUCACCAUCCAGAUCUGCAGAUUGUCAGCGGUUAUCAACGUGAGCCAGGGUGCGCGACUGAUCACGGAGACCAGCUGCCAGCUGUGGGUGGUGGAGGAGCAGUCCAACAACCAGAUUAACGGCAACUUCAAUUACAAGUGGGAGGUGCUGGAGGCCUCGGAGAGAGCCACUGGGACAGCCCACUGGUUGCACACAGAAGAGGCCACUAGAUGUCGAUGGUGUCAUACAAAUUCCUUCUCUGCCCCCAGUGCAGCUGCC